rnacentral:lncRNA from 1 species
AGACAUCGCUGCGGCCGGGAUAGGGCGCCGCCGUUCUGGCCGGCUUUCUCGGUGCCCUGGAGGACCUGGCCGGCUCCGCGGGAAGCUGUACUCAGAGCGCGCGGCCGCCCUCUGGCAGGGAGGAGUUCGUUGCACUUUUGAGGGUUCUUCACGAAGACAUCCAAUACAUAGAAAACAAGUAACAGCAACAGUAACGAAUUUUUAAAUAUUAAAAUUGCUGGGGAACACGACGGAUCCUGCAGCUGCUCGGCUGUCCCGGUCGUCAGUGACGCUAGGGCUCCGCACCGUACCCUGCAUACCGUAGGUGCUCACGAAACGUUCGUGAGUUCCCUGCUCUGAGGAAACAAGCUUAAAAACUCAGAAUCUAAGGUGUGAGUCUCCGCAAACCUGCUUGUUGGGCAGCGUCCCCCGCCCGGGCUAGCCCUGCACGCCCCACCCCGGAGCCACGCUUCUCCAGCCGGGACCCCUGCCUCCUUCCAGGCUAUUCUCGGAACCGCAGCCAGAGGGAAUUUUUUUUUCCUUUCCUGAAACGUAGAGCAGAUCUGGUUACUCUUCUGCACAACGCCCUAAAAUCUAGGGCCCUUCCCAUCCCUCAGAAUUUACAUCUAAUUCUCAGCUCCCCUCCGGCUUGCUGUAGCCAUCCUGGCUUUUGUUUAGCACAGCACUUACUGUUAGUGACAUUAUAUUGUAUAUUAUUAACAUAUUUGUGUUUUACAUCCCUCACUAGACCCCCAGGAAAGAGGCUUUGAUGUGUUGCCUGCUGCAAGGCUGGCUGCAUAAUUUGUGGAGCUCAGAGAAAAGUGCGGAGCUUCCUUGUUCAAAAAACAGAAAGAAAGUGCCUCUGAGGUCAUAAAAUAUAAAACUUUCUCUUUCCUCUCAGUUUCUCUCUUUUCAUAGUGUUUUUAUGUGUUAUUUAAUAUCAUUCCAAGAAAAAUUUAGAUUUAAAUUGUUAGCAUGAAGUUCACCAUCCAUCUUUACGUUGUGCAAUGCCAGUUUUAAAUACUAAUAUAAGUGCACUGAUCUCAUAUGUGGAAUCACAGAAAUUAUGCAAUUUGUACUUCAUAGCUUAUACAUGCAUAUAGAUUUUGUUUUUACCAGAACCACGCUGGUAAAAACAGAUGCUGCACAAAGUGAACUUGCCCGUUUUCAUCGCACUUUACGUGCACGAAUUCUACCUCUACUCUCGACCUGGGACUCACCGAUGCGUAAGGAAGGACUGAAAAGCAAAAGAACUAUGGACUGGCCUUUUGGCAUGAUCAGGUGUCUAAUAUAAAGAAGUGCAUGAAUAAGAAAAUAUAUGAUAUGAGUGAUGGUUAAUACUGACUGUCAACUUGAUUGGAUUGAAGGAUGCAAAGUAUUGAUCCUGGGUGUGUCUGUGAGGGUGUUGCCAAAGGAGAUUAACAUUUGAGUCAGUGGGCUGGGAAAGUUCGACCCACUGUUAAUCUAGAUGGACACCAUCUAAUCAGAUGCCAGUGCAGCUAGAAAUGUAAAGCAGACAGAAAAAUGCGAAAAGAGAGACUGGCCUAGCCUGCCAGCCUACAUCUUUCUCCCACGCUGGAUGCUUCCUGCCCUCGAACAUCAGACUCCAAGUUCUUCAGUUUGGGACUUGGACUGGCUCUCCUUGUUCCUCAGCUUGAAGACUGCCCAUUGUGGGACUUGUGAUCAUGUGCCAUGAUAAAUAAGCCAGUUUGAGUCACUUGGUCUAAUAUCGAGACCACGAACAUAUUGAUCACAGAAUGUGUUAGGUAAGCAUGUUGUUGACUGAAGUGUAAGUAAGGUGCUCACCUUAAAUGCAUGUGCCAACAUCAGCAUCUUCAGAAGAGUCUCUUUCCCUUUGGGACAUCGAGGUGACUGACAGUUAAACAAGCCGUAUUUGGAGUAGGUGUACAAUCAGCCUCCUUCCAGUUCUCCUUGGCACUUUCCAGUUCACAAAGGACACUUCACUCCUUUUUGGUUUUUUUGAGACAGGGUCUCACUCUGUCACCCAGGCUAGAGUACGGUGGUGAGAUCACCCCUCACUGCAACCUCCGUCUCCUGGGCUCAAGUGAUCCUCCCACCUCAGCCUCCCAAGUAGCUGGUACCACAGGUGCAUGCCACCACACCUGGCUGAUUUUUGUAUUUUGUGUAGAAGGGGGUAUUGCCCUAUCGCCUAGGCUGGAAGGCUGUUAAGAGGAGAACUGAGCAAUGAGGAUCCCAUCCUGGACUUCGCAGACUUGCUGUGCUUUUGAAUGCUUCUCUCACGGUCAGAGCCUGCACUGGAAAAGAUGGCAUUUGGGACAACACACCUGGCUGCUGCCCCAGGAAGAAAGUAGUGAACACUGGAGGACUGUCAGCCCUGUCAGUUUCUGGAAAUGUGCCCUGAGUUUAAGUUCUGGUUUCAGAUUAUGAGGAGCAAAAUUACUGAGUAGGCCUCCUCCUAGAACAGGAAGCUCUUCCCGCUGUGGGCCAGUGGCUCUGACAUAUCACAGAGCCUGCUCUGAUGAAGGCAGCAGGAAUGAUUUCAAAACAAGCAAAACCAAAGAAAACUGUUUGACAAUGGAAGUAAUAGAGGCUCAUUUUAGAAAACAUAGACAUAAAGAAAAAAAGAAGAAUCUUCCAUAACCCACAGAUUAUAACUACUUACAUACCUUCCAGGCUUUAUUUCUCUUUUUUAAAAAACAAAUGUUAAAGUGGAAUUUACCUAUAAAAAAGAUACAGGUCCUAAGAGCACAGCUUGGCUUGAUCAAUUUUCUCAAGUUGAAUGCACCUGUGCAAUCAGUGCCAGGCUGAACACACAGCCUCAGCAGCGCCUGGAAGCUUUUCCAAGCCUCCUUAUUGUCAUCCCUCCCUCCCCAGGGGUAGCUGCGAUCACUGUAGCUUUGGUCUGAACUAUAUAUAAAUGCAAUCAUGCCACGUUAUGUUUCUGAGACUCACCCACACCCUGGCAAGCCAUUGCAGUUUGUUUAUUCUCAAUGUUCUACAAGCAGCAGUCCCCAAGCUUUUUGGCACCGGGGACCAGUCUCAUGGAGGACGAUUUUUCCGCAGACCAGGUGGGGAUGGUUUUGGAAUGAUUCAAGCACAUUCCAUUUAUUGUGCACUUUAUUUCUAUUACUGUUGCAUUGUAAUAUAUAAUGAAAUAAUUAUAUAACUCACCAUAAUGUAGAAUCAGUGGGAACCCUGAGCUUGUUUUCCCCCAUCUAGAUGGUUUCAUCUAGGGGUGGGGGGAUGAAAGACAGUGACAGAUUAUCAGGUAUUAGAUUCUCAUAAGAAGCUUGCAACCUGGAUUCUUCGCAUGCUUAGUUCACAGUAGGGUUCACGCUCCUAUGAGAAUCUAAUGCUGCCACAGAACUGACAGGAGGCAGAGCUCAGAUGGUAAUGCUCACUUGCCCACUGCUCACCUCCUGCUGUGCAGCCCUGUUCCUUACAGGCCAUGGACUGGUACCACACAACUAUUUGGCCAUAGCUACAAAAGCUGAUUACAGGUGUAAUUACAGAUUACAUCACUAUUACAUAGCCUACAAAGAGGUUUAAUUGGACUUAUAAGUCCACAUGACUAGGGAAGCUUCACAAUCAUGGCGGAAGGCAAGGAGGAGCAAGUCACAUCUUACAUGGAGGGCAGCAGGCAAAGAGAGAGCUUGUGCAGGGAGACUCAUUUUUCAAAACCAUCAGAUCUUGUGAGACUUAUUCACUAUCAUAAGAACAGUGUGGGAAUUACAAAUUACAUAGCUAUGUAGUUACAAAUUACAUAGCUAAUUACACCUGUAAUCAACUUUUGUAGCUAUGGCCAAAUAGUUUUCCCAAGUGGUUGCACCAAUUUACACUCCCACCAACAGUACAUGAUCCUGCUGGCAGCUCAAUCUACAUUCUUAUUAACUGCAUUAGUCCAUUUUCACGUUGCUGAUAAAGACAUACCUGAGACUGGGCAAUUUACAAAAGAAAGAGGUUUAAUUGGACUCACAGUGUGUGACUGGGGAAGCCUCACAAUCAUGGUGGAAGGCAAGGAGGAGCAAGUCACGUCUUAUGUGGAUGGCAGCAGGCAAAGAGAGAGCUUGUGCAGGGAGACUACCAUUUUUCAAAACCAUCAGAUCUUGUGAGACUUAUUCACUCUCAUGGAACAGCAUGGGAAAGACCUGCCCCCACAAUUCAAUUACCUCGCACCAGGUACCUCCCACAACACAUGGGAAUUCAAGAUGAGAUUUGGGUGGGGACACAGCCAAACCAUAUCAUCGACCCUUUGUUUUUCCCCAUCUUUUUCAUUUUAGCCAUUCUUUUCAUGUGUAUUAGACAUUUGGAUAGCCUCAUUUGUGAAAUGUCUCAUUUUUUCUACUAGGCUUUUCAUCUCUUUAUUGAUCUAAAACAUUUUUAAUAUAUUAGACAUAUGUAUUGCAAAUCUCUUCUUCUACUGUGGAAGUGGCUUUCAUUUCUAUUCAUUUCAGACUGUUUUAAUGCUAUCUUAUUUCUUUCUUUAUGAUUCAGCACUCUUUGUGUCCUGCUUAAGAACUCUUUGUCUAUUUCAUGUUCAUUAAAAUGUGAUUUUUUUCUACAGUCUUCAUUAUUUUUCCUUUAACAUUUAAAUUUAUAAUAAAUCUGGGUGUGAUUUUUA